rnacentral:rRNA from 1 species
UACGGGGGGGGCAAGCGUUGUUCGGAAUUACUGGGUGUAAAGGGCGCGUAGGCGGGUGGACAAGUCUAUCGUGAAAGCCCACGGCUCAACCGUGGAAUUGCGGGGGAUACUGUCUGUCUUGAGUCCGGGAGCGGAGGGUGGAAUUCCCAGUGUAGCGGGGAAAUGCGUAGAUAUUGGGAGGACCACCGGUGGCGAAGGCGGCUCUCUGGACCGGUACUGACGCUGAGGCGCGAAAGCUAGGGGAGCAAGCGGG